CCUACGGGAGGCAGCAGUAGGGAAUCUUCCACAAUGGGCGCAAGCCUGAUGGAGCAACGCCGCGUGAAUGAUGAAGGCCUUCGGGUUGUAAAAUUCUGUCUUCUGUGAAGAACAAGUGUGAGAAGGGAAUGCUCACACCCUGACGGUAACAGAGGAGGAAGCCCCGGCUAACUACGUGCCAGCAGCCGCGGUAAUACGUAGGGGGCAAGCGUUGUCCGGAAUCACUGGGCGUAAAGCGCGCGCAGGCGGCCAUUUGCGUCCGGGGUGAAAGCCCAAGGCUCAACCUUGGGAUUGCCUUGGAUACGGGAUGGCUUGAGGAUCGGAGAGGCAAGGGGAAUUCCACGUGUAGCGGUGAAAUGCGUAGAGAUGUGGAGGAACACCUGUGGCGAAGGCGCCUUGCUGGCCGAUUUCUGACGCUGAGGCGCGAAAGCGUGGGGAGC
rnacentral:rRNA from 1 species